UACGUAGGUGGCAAGCGUUGUCCGGAAUUACUGGGUGUAAAGGGAGCGUAGGCGGGGACGCAAGUUGAAUGUUUAAACUAUGGGCUCAACCCGUAGUCGCGUUCAAAACUGCGUCUCUUGAGUGAAGUAGAGGCAGGCGGAAUUCCUAGUGUAGCGGUGAAAUGCGUAGAUAUUAGGAGGAACACCAGUGGCGAAGGCGGCCUGCUGGGCUUUUACUGACGCUGAGGCUCGAAAGUGCGGGGAGCAAACAGG
rnacentral:rRNA from 1 species